rnacentral:rRNA from 1 species
GACGAACGCUGGCGGUGUGCCUCACACAUGCAAGUCGAACGGGGUAGCAAUACCUAGUGGCGGACGGGUGAGUAACGCGUGGGAAUCUGCCUUUAGAUGGGGGAUAACUGACCGAAAGGUUAGCUAAUACCGCAUAUGCCGAAAGGUGAAAGGAGCAAUCCGUCUGAAGAUGAGCCCGCGUCCGAUUAGCUAGUUGGUAGGGUAAAGGCCUACCAAGGCUACGAUCGGUAGCUGGUCGAGAGGAUGAUCAGCCACAAUGGGACUGAGACACGGCCCAUACUCCUACGGGAGGCAGCAGUGGGGAAUUUUGUGCAAUGGGGAAACCCUGACACAGCGACACCGCGUGAGCGAGGAAGCCCGUUUGGGUGUAAAGCUCUGUCGGCAGGAACGAAUCAAUGACGGUACCUGCAGAGGAAGCAUCGGCUAA